rnacentral:lncRNA from 1 species
AUGUUUCUUAUUUAUCAGAUCACCUUCUACACCUCGGAAAUUUUUCAGACAGCAAACCUCCAGGAAAGCAUAAUCCCAUAUGUAGCUCUAGGAGUUGCGACCUCUGAGCUCAUCUCCAUCAUCUUCUGUAGCUCCAUUAUCGAUCGUUUUGGACGCCGGAUUCUGCUGUGGGGUGGUUAUUUGUUGAUGGCACUGAUACUGGUGUUGCUUGAAACAAGCCUUCUACUGAGCGUAAGCAAAUGUCUCUCUAGGGGUGGAUCUGCAUCUGAAAUCUUUGUGCAGGACAGCAGAUAGUCAGCCUUAGUUCUGACGUCCAAAAGAGCAGGUCAGAAUAUCUUCUGAACACAAAUUCGCAGCCCACCUUGCAAGGCCUUUAUCUUUGUCCUGUCUUGUAUUUCAUCUUUUUAGUCAAUCUUUCAAACAGUCAGUGAAAAACAUUUUGUAAAACCAUCAGCCUGGCAUAGCUUUCCUCCAGCUCUCUGCCCGCCUGAUCUCUCUGAACCUCUCUUGUGUUGUUUGCUGCCCUUCAAACCCCUAGAUGAGCAUCUCUGUUGUCACCAUUCCCAUUUGCUAUCCCAUGCCCCCUGCAACAGAAGCAGCGUGCACUGCCCCUUCCCACCACCAAUUUCCACCCUCGAUGCACGUGAUCCAGCUGGAUACACAGCAUGCAGUUCUCUAACUCCUUCCAGCCUGGAUGGUGGAAAGAAGUGAGGAACCCAGUGUCAUGCCUUCCAUAUUUCCAGUGUUUCGUACUGCAUUGCAAACUUUGUCUCAGCCCACAAACUAACUUCUCUCUGUUUCACAGGUAUCUUUUGAUUCACAUGAUUUAAACAUUUCUCUGAAGUUGUCUAAGUGAAUAAGAUAAGGUUGAAUCAGUUACACUUUUCCCCAUGCUGUAAUUAUCUUGGAAUUUGUUACGUGUUUUUCAGACCAGGGUGCAGUUUAACUCACCUCUGUAGAUAGGACACUGCAGGCUACUUUUGGCCUUCCACUGUAUUCAGUACAGAGAGAUAAGUAGUUGUAGUGAGCACCCAUUACAGAGCCCAGCAUCGUGGGCUUUUUCAUCAACAUCACUUCUCCUGUAUGUUUAGAUCAGCUGUGCUAUAGCUAUAAAAUUGUCAUUCUCAUCCCUCCUUCUGCCCUUG